GCUUAGUGAGGUCUCCGGAUUGGCUUUGGGGAGCCGGCAACGGCACCUUAUUGCUGAGAAGCUGAUCAAACUUGGUCAUUUAGAGGAAGUAAAAGUCGUAACAAGGUUUCCGUAGGUGAACCUGCGGAAGGAUCAUUAUUGAAUAAACUUGGUCGGGUUGCUGCUGGCUUUUCGGAGCAUGUGCACGCCUGCCACCAUUUUUACCACCUGUGCACUCUUUGUAGAUCUAGAAUAUCUCUCGAGGAAACUCGGUUUGAGAGAUGCUGUGCGCAAGCCAGCUUCUCUUGCAUUCUAGGUCUAUGUAUUUAUUAUACCCCAUACUAUAUUUCAGAAUGUCAUUAAUGGGCCUUGUGCCUUUAAAUUAAUACAACUUUCAACAACGGAUCUCUUGGCUCUCGCAUCGAUGAAGAACGCAGCGAAAUGCGAUAAGUAAUGUGAAUUGCAGAAUUCAGUGAAUCAUCGAAUCUUUGAACGCACCUUGCGCUCCUUGGUAUUCCGAGGAGCAUGCCUGUUUGAGUGUCAUUAAAUUCUCAACCUUUUCAGCUUUUGCAAGUUGAAUUUGGCUUGGAUGUGGAGGUUGCGGGCUUCUCAGAAGUCGGCUCUUCUUAAAUGCAUUAGCGGAACCUUUGUGGACCAGCUUUGGUGUGAUAAUUAUCUACGCCACUGUUGUGAAACAGCUUUACAUGGGGUUCAGCUUCUAACUGUCCAUUGACUUGGACAAUUUUUGACAUUUUGACCUCAAAUCA
rnacentral:rRNA from 1 species